CUGGUGGUUCCCUGCCAGAGUCGAUAUAAACGGAGAUCCAGCCUCCACGUUCACCCACUCACUUUUCUCACAUUAUGAAGCUCAGCAGCCUCUCUGCCCUCACUGUGAUCUUCCUCCUUCUCUGCCUCCACAUGGCACAGCCCGGAUUCCAGCAGGAUGUCAAUAAACCUGGAUAUUGCCCAGAGUUUUUUCUUUCCUGCCCUUUUGUCCUUUUACCUCUAUGUCAGCGCGAUAAAGGUUGCAAGGGUUCCAAGAAGUGUUGUUUCUACAACUGCAGACGUCAGUGUAUGGACCCGUGGCCGACUUUGGACUGAGCUCCUAAUAAGGAAGUGCUUUCCUCUUCACGUUUAAACCAGGAGGUAGAAACCCCUCCUCAACCAGGCCUGAGAAGAUGCUGCGGAUUCCAGGCUCAGACUUGAAUAAUUCAUUUCCAGUUUUUCCCAGCUCCCCUGGUUCCCAAGACUUCUUUUUAUUAAGCUCAUGUAGUUCCCUGUUAUACAGUGAAUCCUUGUUGACUAAAAAAAAAAGAGAGAGAGAGAGUUAAAUGCUUCUCAGUGUGAAAAUGACACAAAGAAAUAAAGUGUUAUCUAUUUAAAACCACAUGA